rnacentral:rRNA from 1 species
GAACGCUGGCGGCAGGCCUAACACAUGCAAGUCGAGCGGUAGAGAGGUGCUUGCAUCUCUUGAGAGCGGCGGACGGGUGAGUAAUGCCUAGGAAUCUGCCUAGUGGUGGGGGAUAACGUUCGGAAACGGACGCUAAUACCGCAUACGUCCUACGGGAGAAAGCGGGGGAUCUUCGGACCUCGCGCCAUUAGAUGAGCCUAGGUCGGAUUAGCUAGUUGGUGAGGUAAUGGCUCACCAAGGCGACGAUCCGUAACUGGUCUGAGAGGAUGAUCAGUCACACUGGAACUGAGACACGGUCCAGACUCCUACGGGAGGCAGCAGUGGGGAAUAUUGGACAAUGGGCGAAAGCCUGAUCCAGCCAUGCCGCGUGUGUGAAGAAGGUCUUCGGAUUGUAAAGCACUUUAAGUUGGGAGGAAGGGCAGUAAGUUAAUACCUUGCUGUUUUGACGUUACCAACAGAAUAAGCACCGGCUAACUUCGUG